GAUGAAGAACGUAGCGAAAUGCGAUACUUGGUGUGAAUUGCAGAAUCCCGUGAACCAUCGAGUCUUUGAACGCAAGUUGCGCCCGAAGCCAUUAGGCCGAGGGCACGCCUGCCUGGGCGUCACACGUCGUUGCCCCCCCAUCUACUCCUUCGGGAUUGCGGGGGGCGGAUGAUGGCCUCCCGUGCGCCUCGCCGCGCGGUUGGCAUAAAUGCCAAGUCCUCGGCGACGCACGCCACGACAAUCGGUGGUUGCGAAACCUCGGGUGCCCGUCGUGUGCGGUCGUCGCGCAUCGAGGGCUCGAAAAAAUUGCCGGGUUCCGGCUCGGCUUUCAACGCGACCCCAGGUCAGGCGGGGUUACCCGCUGAAUUUAAGCAUAUCAAUAAGCGGAGGA
rnacentral:misc_RNA from 1 species